rnacentral:rRNA from 1 species
GACGUAGGGCGCGAGCGUUGUCCGGAUUUAUUGGGCGUAAAGAGCUCGUAGGCGGCUUGUCGCGUCGUCCGUGAAAACCCACAGCUCAACUGUGGGCUUGCGGUCGAUACGGGCAGGCUAGAGUUCGGUAGGGGAGACUGGAAUUCCUGGUGUAGCGGUGAAAUGCGCAGAUAUCAGGAGGAACACCGGUGGCGAAGGCGGGUCCCUGGGCCGAUACUGACGCUGAGGAGCGAAAGCGUGGGGAGCGAACAGG